CGUCGGAAGCGGCAGAUGACUCGGAACGUGGGCGCAGGUGGUGGUGUGCGGGGCUGAACAGAUAGCGAGAACGUUGCUCGAGACGCCUAGAAAGGCCUUGGGAACUCCAGCAAAACGGACGCCACCAAACGGGAACCAGCCGGAACCAGCCGGAACAGAUCAAACUCUGCAGGAAUUUGGACGCAGAUGUGAACGACACUUCACAGCUUUGGAAAGGUGGCCUGUCACCAGCCAAGUCCCCCUUCGGUGGUGCAACGCCUUUGUGCUACAUUUUGUCUUUACACGAAUUCGACACAGUCAGAUCAAAUGA